CCUACGGGUGGGCAGCAGUGAGGAAUAUUGUUCAAUGGCCGGAAGGCUGAACCAGCCAUGCCGCGUGAAGGUCAGUGCCCUAUGUGCGUUCAACUUCUUUUGUGCGGGAGCAAUAAUGGUCACGUGUGGCCAGACGCGAGUACCGUACGAAUCAGCAUCGGCUAACUCCGUGCCAGCAGCCGCGGUAAUACGGGGGAUGCAACCGUUAUCCGGAUUUCUUGGGUUUAAGGGGUGCGUAGGCUGUGAGGUAAGUCAGCGGUGAAAUGCCCCCGCGCAACGGGGUGAAGUGCCAUUGAUACUGCCUUGCUGGAAUGCGGAUGCCGUGGGAGGAAUGUGUGGUGUAGCGGUGAAAUGAAGAGAUAGCAGAUAGAACACCGAGUGCGAAGGCAUCUUACGAAUCCGCGAUUGACGCUGAUGCACGAAAGCGUGGGUAUCAAACAGGAUUAGAUACCCUUGUAGUC
rnacentral:rRNA from 1 species